rnacentral:rRNA from 1 species
GACGAACGCUGGCGGCGUGCUUAACACAUGCAAGUCGAACGGAAAGGCCCUGCUUGCAGGGUACUCGAGUGGCGAACGGGUGAGUAACACGUGGGUGAUCUGCCCUGCACUUCGGGAUAAGCUUGGGAAACUGGGUCUAAUACCGGAUAGGAGCCAUCUUUAGUGUGGUGGUUGGAAAGUUUUUUCGGUGUAGGAUGAGCUCGCGGCCUAUCAGCUUGUUGGUGGGGUAAUGGCCUACCAAGGCGGCGACGGGUAGCCGGCCUGAGAGGGUGUACGGCCACAUUGUGACUGAGAUACGGCCCAGACUCCUACGGGGGGCAGCAGUGGGGAAUAUUGCACAAUGGGCGCAAGCCUGAGGCAGCGACGCCGCGUGGGGGAUGAAGGCGUUCGGGUUGUAAACUCCUUUCGCUAGGGACGAAGCUUUGUUGUGACGGUACCUAGAUAAGAAGCACCGGCUAACUACGUG